AAAGUAAGUAAAAGUAUUUGAACAGUUUACAGCUUUCAAUUACAAAAAAAAAAAAUGAUGACAACUCACGAGGCUAUAGUAAAAAUGAUUUUCUAAUGGCAACCGUUACAAUCCUGAUGAAUGGUCAGACAUCACAGACCAUUUCACCAAGGUUAAAUGGUCUGUGUCAGACAUCCUCUCUGUAGGAUGGGUGGCUAGAGAUGUAUAAAAUGAAUGUGAUUUCCCUCCCUUAGCGAGGAUGAACGACGGUCUACAAAUGAAUGGUGGUCAGAAAAAUUUAUAAGCAUCGUGAUAAGGAUAAUGGUAUAUUUCGCGGGCUUGGCGCGGGGAGUGGCGGGGCGGCGGGCGGCGGUGUCAUUUCACUAAUUAACUCGUUGGGCGCGGCGGCACUCCAUUACGCUGUUUAUUGUGACAAUUAUUCCACCUGUCGGCCCCUAGACUUCCAAUUAGUUCACCAAACUCCGAGCUGUUAGGAUUUGACGCUGUAUUUCACGUGAAACGUGCGUCGAAUUGAUAGUUUAUUCAAAGACCAAUAAAUGUAUAUUUAACCAGCGAGGGUUACGGUGGAAGAGUUGUUUGAGAAGAGCUCAAUGAAGGCAACAAUGUAAGUCGUAUUUGAGACCGCGUUAACUGCAAUGCAAAUUUACCAGCGGCGAUAACCGCGUCGACCAUAAGCGUCCGCGCACAACAGCGGCGGCAGCUGUUACUUUUCUUCCGGUUUCCGAAAGUAUAGUUUGCCAAACUAUAUGUUUGGCAGUUUACUCGCCGGCGUGUGUGUGGAAGUCCUUCAGCUCUUGACGUACUGUGAACUCGAGCGCUCGUAAUAAAUGCGUGCGCUAAAUAGUUUACUUAUCAAGGCUCGGUGCACGCUGUUCGCGGCGGCCUGCCCGAUAUCUGCUCAAAAAAAAUCUGUAAAUAAAAAAACUCAUGGAUCCAAAAAAGCAAUCUUUUUAUAACUACCGUAUCGACCAGUCCGUAAUUUUGGUAUCUACUUCGUCAAUUUGUGGACACUUUCCGAAGUGGAGCGCUCGAUAUCGCGGGUGAGCGGGUGAGCGGAGCCACGUCAACAGCUCCUUGCUCCAAUUGCCCGCAGCGCGGGUAACGAGCCUGCGGAGAAAAAGCUUCAUGAAUGUUGAGCUUUAACAUAUUUGGACGAAAGAUAUACUUAGAGAAUCUUUGAUUCGACAGUUUAUUGACAUUGAUACCCAAUUUCAUUUAAGUUGUUACCUUAUUGUCAUUUCUAAGCUUCCCCCACGUGACGUCACGUAUUGUGGAAUGUUAGUGUACAGUUUUUCACCACGACGAUUAAUGCUAACAAAAUUUGUAAACGAAAUAAAGUUGUCAUGUUCACGUGGUAACUGCAUUUAUUAAUUAAUGACGUAGACACAGUAAGGUACAUUUCCGAAACAGUGCGACUUCUUUACUCUCCGUGGUCUGUGCCUGUUGUGGCGACAACGCGACCCAAUUUGAUCCCGCUGUGAUACUCGG